GACGAACGCUGGCGGCGUGCUUAACACAUGCAAGUCGAACGGAAAGGCCCUGCUUUUGUGGGGUGCUCGAGUGGCGAACGGGUGAGUAACACGUGAGUAACCUGCCCUUGACUUUGGGAUAACUUCAGGAAACUGGGGCUAAUACCGGAUAGGAGCUCCUGCUGCAUGGUGGGGGUUGGAAAGUUUCGGCGGUUGGGGAUGGACUCGCGGCUUAUCAGCUUGUUGGUGGGGUAGUGGCUUACCAAGGCUUUGACGGGUAGCCGGCCUGGGAGGGUGACCGGCCACAUGGGGACUGAGAUACGGCCCAGACUCCUACGGGAGGCAGAAGUGGGGAAUAUUGCACAAUGGGCGGAAGCCUGAUGCAGCAACGCCGCGUGCGGGAUGACGGCCUUCGGGUUGUAAACCGCUUUCGCCUGUGACGAAGCGUGAGUGACGGUAAUGGGUAAAGAAGCACCGGCUAACUACGUG
rnacentral:rRNA from 1 species